UACGGAGAGGGCUGGUGUUAUUCGCAUUGACUGGGUGUAAAGGGUGCGUAGGUGGCGAGGUAAGUCAGGUGUGAAAUCUCGGAGCUCAACUCCGAAACUGCACUUGAUACUGCCCUGCUCGAGUACUGGAGAGGAGAUUGGAAUUUACGGUGUAGCAGUGAAAUGCGUAGAUAUCGUAAGGAAGACCAGUGGCGAAGGCGAAUCUCUGGACAGUUACUGACACUGAGGCACGAAGGCCAGGGGAGCGAAAAGCGGGA
rnacentral:rRNA from 1 species